UACGGAGGGUGCAAGCGUUAUCCGGAUUUACUGGGUUUAAAGGGUGCGUAGGCGGGUAGGGAAGUCAGUGGUGAAAUCUUCGAGCUUAACUCGGAAAUUGCCGUUGAUACUAUUUAUCUUGAAUAUCGUUGAGGUUUGCGGAAUAUGUCAUGUAGCGGUGAAAUGCUUAGAGAUGACAUAGAACACCUAUUGCGAAGGCAGCAGGCUAAACGAACAUUGACGCUGAGGCACGAAAGCGUGGGGAGCAAACGGG
rnacentral:rRNA from 1 species